rnacentral:rRNA from 1 species
GGGGGAUAAGCUUCAUUGUCAAGAGGGAAAUAGCCCAGAUCACCAUUUAAGGCCCCUAAAUAAUUACUAAGUGGCAAAGGAUGUAAUAGUACAUAGACAACCAGGAGGUUUGCUUAGAAGCAGCCACCCUUUAAAAAUAGCGUAAUAGCUUACUGGUCAAGUGCUUUUGCGCCGAAAAUGAACGGGACUAAGUAAUUUGCCGAAAGUGUGAGAUAUAAAAAUCGGUAGAAGAGCGUUCUGUUUGGCGGGAAGUAGUAGUGAAAACAACUAUGGACUAAACAGAAGUGAGAAUGUCGGCUUAAGUAACGAAAACAUUGGUGGAAAUCCAAUGCCCCGAAAACCUAAGGAUUCCUUCGCAAGGUUCGUCCACGAAGGGUUAGUCAGGGCCUAAGAUGAGGUUUAAAAACGUAGUUGAUGGACAACAGGUUAAUAUUCCUGUACUGCAUUUAGUUUAUUAAGAGUGACGAAAAAGGCUAUAUCAUCCAAUUAUUGGAUUUUUGGUUUAAUCUUUUAAGGUGUAGAUAAGUAUAAUAAAAGAUACUUUGAGCUGAAAAAGAGAAUACGAAAGACACUACGGUGUCAAAAGUGAUUUAUGUCAUGUUUCCAAGAAAAGCUCUCAUAAUUUAUAAUUAAAUGUACCUGUACCUUAAACUGACACAGGUAGGUUGGUAGAGAAUACCAAGGGGCGCGAGAUAACUCUUUCUAAGGAACUCGGCAAAAUGACUCUGUAACUUCGGGAGAAAGAGUGCCUUAUAUUAUAAGGUCACAGUAACAAGAUCCAAGCGACUGUUUACCAAAAACACAGGUCUCCGCUAAGUUGAAAAACUAUGUAUGGGGGCUGACGCCUGCCCAGUGCCGGAAGGUUAAAGAAAUCGGUUAACUUCGGUGAAGCUGGUGACUGAAGCCCUGGUGAACGGCAGCCGUAACUAUAACGGUUCUAAGGUAGCGAAAUUCCUUGUCGGGUAAGUUCCGACCCGCACGAAAGGCGUAACGAUUUGGAUACUGUCUCAGAAAGAGACUCGGUGAAAUAGAAUUGACUGUGAAGAUGCGGUCUACUUGCACUUGGACAGAAAGACCCUAUGAAGCUUUACUGUAACUUGAAAUUGGUUUUGGGCUUUCCUUGCGCAGCAUAGGUGGGAGGCUAUGACCCUCUUUUUCGGAAGUAGGUGAGCCACAAUAUGAGAUACCACUCUGGGGAAGUUAAAAAUCUAAUAGUAUUUUUUAUCAAUGUACUUGACAGUUUCAGGCGGGCAGUUUUACUGGGGCGGUAGCCUCCUAAAAAGUAACGGAGGCGUACAAAGGUUUUCUCAGUCUGGACGGAAAUUAGUUGCAGAGUAUAAAGACAUAAGAAAGCUUGACUGCGAGACUUACAAGUCGAGCAGAGACUAAAGUCGGUCUUAGUGAUCCGACGGUGCUGUGUGGAAAGGCCGUCGCUCAACGGAUAAAAGUUACUCUAGGGAUAACAGGCUGAUCUCCCCCAAGAGUUCACAUCGACGGGGAGGUUUGGCACCUCGAUGUCGGCUCAUCGCAACCUGGAGCGGAAGUACGUUCCAAGGGUUGGGCUGUUCGCCCAUUAAAGCGGUACGUGAGCUGGGUUCAGAACGUCGAGAGACAGUUCGGUCCAUAUCCGGUGUGAGUGUUAGAGUAUUGAAAGGAGCUUUCCUUAGUACGAGAGGACCGGGAAGGACACACCACUGAUGUACCAGUUUUUGUGCCAGCGGAAAACGC